AAAGUCGUAACAAGGUUUCCGUAGGUGAACCUGCGGAAGGAUCAUUAUUGAAUUGUGUUUUCAAAAACACCUACUCGAUGGGUUGUCGCUGGCUCUUUGGAGCAUGUGCACGCCUGUCUUGACUCUAUUCAUCCACCUGUGCACCAUUUGUAGUCUUGGGGGCUGUAAGUGGCUGACUGUCGGGGAACAUCAUUCCCGGAUUUGAGGACUGCAGUGUGAAAGCACGGCUUUUCCUCUACUGGCCAUGAACCCAGGUCUAUGUACUUAUUCAUACACCAUGUAGUAUGUUGCAGAAUGUAUCGCAUGGGCCUUUGUGCCUAUAAGAACUAUAUACAACUUUCAGCAACGGAUCUCUUGGCUCUC
rnacentral:misc_RNA from 1 species